rnacentral:lncRNA from 1 species
AUGGACUUGACUCCAGCAUCAGGCUUCAAAAGGAGGCCUGCUGCCUCCUCUUCCCCAAGUAGAGUGAGAGAGAUUGCCAGGAGCACUCCUCCCUGCUCACCCUCUCUGUCCUUGUCAUCGCCUUCAUCGGAUCCAUCUUCACCCUUGUCUACAUCCUCUGUUGGUGCCAACUUGUCAAUUUAUCAGAACCAUGUAAAAGGUUAUACCCAGGGGACAGUGGUGGCCAGGGUGUCUUCCACUUCUCCCUCUCUUGCUACACAGUCUCCCUCCACACCUAGACCAAACACCAACUCAUCAGAUUCCUUCCUUCUGGCUUCAGUGCAGCCAAGUGUUGAUUGUGAAGACGAGAGCAGGAAAAGGGAGAUGUAUGACCCUUUUCAUCCAACUGAGGGGUUGAGGGGGGAUGAGGGGGAGGCAGAGAAAUAUGACCCCUUUGACCCCACAGGUUCUCCAGCUUCAGAUGCUGAUGAGAGGAAUGUCAAAGUGAAGGGGGUGAAGAGAAACACUGAGCAAGGAGAUGAGGAGGAGAAAGAGGAAGAACCUCCAGAUUCCACUGACACCUUGACAGACCUGCCAAGCCCCUGUAUGGACAGCAAGCUCUGUCUUAGAAGGAGAGUGGACUGUAGCACCAUCAACGCUGGAGAGCGGAGGGAUAGUGGUGACUCUGAUCACUCUGAGAUAGAGGAGGGGGAGAUAGUUGGGGCUGCUGACAGAAAUGGAGGCAAUAAGAUACCAGCUGGAGAAAUCCUCCCCCUCAGUUCUCCUAGCAUUUCCUUCUUUGGUUCAAAGCCUGAGCGCAUCCUGCGGGUGCUGGAUGUGGAUGGCUUUGUGUCUGUGCGUACAGAGGGCACCUGGGAGGUGGACGGGGAGCCUGAGGAUGAGCCUGUGGUAGGAGUGGAAGAUUUGAGAAGGAAGCUGGUCAGCAGGCGGAAGGAAAGAUAUCUAUCCUUUCCUGCUUCUUCCUCCCUCUCUCCUCAGCCACUGCCUCCUCCCUCCCAUCCUGUAGUUUCUACACCCUCUCCCCCUCUCACACCUCCUGUAGAGCAAGGCAGUAAAAACCAAAAGUCCUCCAAGAGUUCCAAGGACCGUGACCGACAAAAAAGCAAGGAUAGAAAGGCUGGGGAGAAGGAGGAGAAAAGAAAAAAGAGAAGAAAGGACAAAGAGGGAGGUCAAGAGAGGAGCAAAGAAAAGGACAGAGGGCGCAAGGAGGUUAAAGGAACAAGGAGCAGCAGGAGCAGCAGCCGAAAGAUGAAGAAAAGACGUCACAGCAGCCCAGAUGCUCCACAAUCAGGCAACUCUUCUGGAAGAGGGGGCCGCACUAGGCACUCCUUUUCCAGCCUAUCUGAAGAAAGAAACAGAGAGAGGGAAAGAGAUAAAGACGGAGGCAGGGACAGAGUUAGAGAUAGAGACAGAGAGAGGGAAAGAGACAGAGGAAGAGAGAGAGACAGGGAUAAAGACAGAGAGCAAGAUCGUACCAGUAGUCGUAGAAGAGAUGAAAGAGAUCAAGAUUCUAGCUCUCGAAAGGAGAGGGAAAGAAAGAGAAGACAACAUUCAAGCAGCAGAGAAUGCAGUUUUUCAAAGAGGUCCAAAAGAAGCAGAGAAAAGAGGGAAGGCGAUAGAGACAGGCAGCUUGAGAGGGAUAGGCGACGGGAUGGUCGUCCUGUUGUCCCGCCAUCUAUCCAAGAUCUUAAUGGGUCUGACCUCUUUGCUAUCAAGCGAACCAUUACAGUCACCACCACCACAACCACUACCACCGUACCUGGCUCCCCGAGACUUGCCCCAACCUCUCCCUGUCGGCCCAUGCAGGAAUCUGACAAACCCCACAAGAGAAAGAAGAAGAGAAAAUGGCAUUCAGCUGGAGAGGUGGAGAAUCGAGGAAGUGGACACAGCCGAUCACAGUCACUCACACCACCAAGGUAUCACAGCUAUGAGUCAGACCACUAUUCAGAUAAAUUAGAGAUUGAUGUGUUGUCUUUGGAUGGUGAGGCUUUGGACUCUGACUACCCAUCAUUAGAGGAUACACCUCCUGCUGCCUUGCCUCCAGAACCACCUGUCCCAAGCCCUAAAACUAAGCUUACCCCCAAGACUGGACACCCAAAAAAAAAGUCUCAUGCAUUAAAGAAAAUUGGCCAAUCUGAAUCCUCCUCAUCCAAUAGAACUAAAAGUAAAUGCCUCUCCUCACUGACUGUGACAUCAGGCUCUGCUUCUGUCUCAUCUGGAAUCCCCUCAGUAAAGCGAGCCAGGAAGAUGGGGAAAGACAGAGACCGCGACAAAAGCAGCAGAAAGGAUUUGGGUCGCUCUGGCAAAUCAAAGAAAGAAAGUGGCGGCAGUCGGAAAAGCAAGCUACAGUCCAAAGUAUCUGUGCUGGUGCGAGAGGGUGUGAGUAGUACCACAGGUACUUCAGUUGGCUCAGGAAAGCUGGGCAUGGACCUGUUAGGGUCAGGGGGUACAGGGCCAGGCGGUGGGGGCUCUGUGGUAGGUGGCUCGAUUGCAGUGGUCUUCUGCAGGGACAAUGAGAGCAGGUCUCCGUUCCUAAAACCUUGCUCAGAGCCGCUGUCACUCGGAAGCCGCAGUAAGGAUUUGGCUAGUGUGGGAAAGCGAAGCAGUCUGGCUGCACCACCAUCCACCUUAACCAGUCCUGCAGGGAUGAAAUCCAAGAAAACAAAACCAAGCUCCAUCACAUCCACCUCAUCCUCUGCCUCCUCCCCCUCAUCAUCUCUGGCAACCAAGCGUCGUCGCCGCCUGGCCAAGAAGACAAGAGAAAAAGGUGGACCCUCUGGCUUGAAAGUUGGAGAUGGCAGCCAGGCAAAAGUAACAUCUGAGGGCUGGGGUGGAGCCUCCUUAGAUGUCCAGUCAGCCAUUGCAGAUGGGAGCAAGACAGUCAGUCCACAUAAUAGCCAAGCUGGCCCUGCACCCUCUUGUUCCUCCUCUUCUUCCUCAUCUUCCUCCACCAGUGUGCUCCCACCCUCCUCCUCACCACCCCACACGCCUCCACCCUCAAUGGCUCCUUUGCGGGACACCAGAGACUCUUCCCCAGACUCUCAGACUGUAGACAGCAGCUGCAAGACUCCAGACCCUUCUUUCCUAGCUGAGGACUGUCCAACUCAGACCAGCCCCACACUCCCUGCAUCCAGUCCGUCCAGCAUGUCCACUGCCCAGGCAGCUGGCCUCAACAUUACCAUGUCUUCAUCGACUGCCAAGCCCCCUCCUCCAGAUGAUACAAUCAAAUCGCUGGCCUCACCCCCUUGUUCAUCCUCUUCGACAGGCUGUGGUCUCACUUCCCUCUCUCUACCACUGUCUUCAUCUGACCCCUCCUCUUCUUCUUCUGUGUCCUCCUCAUCUGCUAGUAAACCUCCUCCUCCUCCACCCCCAGCAGCAUCCACCCUGCCCUGGAGUCUGCAAACUGGGGUGGACUGCACAACUGGAGGAGUUCUAGCACGUGAGUAG